GCUGGUGUGGCAUAGUGGUUUGAGUGCUGGACUAAGACUCUGGAGAUCAGAGUUCGAUUUCCGCUCAACCA